rnacentral:lncRNA from 1 species
GUACGCGGCGGUAGCAGGUAGGGGCUUGGCAGUGUGGGAGGAGAUACCACAGAAGACGGAAGAACUACCAGGCCUUGGUUCAUCUCCACACUGGCGAGAGAGGACGUGCAGGGAGGUAUUGGCUGCCAGAUAGGGAACUGAGACUUCAAGAAGCUAAAUAAAUAAGGUGUCCAACACCACACAGCAUGGAGCAAAGGACACAUGGGACUCCAAAUCUUCCUAAUUCUUGAGCUCAUCUGGCUAUCUCACCAGGGCCUUAAAUUUAAUAUAUCCCAAACCAAACUCAUCUUUAUCCCUUCCCACUUUGCACUUCUCAAAUGUCCUUGUUUAAAAUAGUUACCUUUAUCUUUCCUAACCCAGAAACUCAAAACCUGACAUCAUUUUCAACUUCUCUCUUUGCCUUCACAUUCAAUCAGUUUCCAAGACUUAAAGCCUUUACUUGUAGGAUCUCUACCAUUGAUCCUCUACAGUUUCACACCUACAUCCCAUUCUCAUUCCCAAUCCCCGUAACUCCCCUCCUGGCCCAUCCCUUAACACUGAAAUCCUGGCUUGGAAAAUAUGGUCACGUUCACAGCAGCUGUCCUCAAGAAGGAAGCCAAGGCAACAGUAUGCACAAUGAAAUCACUCUGGGAGAAACUCACUGCCACGUUGUGACAACACUAUGGAGAGGCCCAGGUGAGGGACUGACGCUUCCUGCCAACGGCCACAUGAAUAAGAUUGGGAACAGAUCCUUCAGCCCCCGUCAAGCCUUCAGAUGA